UACGAAGGGUGCAAGCGUUACUCGGAAUCACUGGGCGUAAAGCGUGCGUAGGCGGUUCGUUAAGUCUGCUGUGAAAGCCCUGGGCUCAACCUGGGAACUGCAGUGGAUACUGGCGAGCUAGAGUGUGAUAGAGGAUGGUGGAAUUCCCGGUGUAGCGGUGAAAUUCGUAGAUAUCGGGAGGAACACCGGUGGCGAAGGCGGCGAUCUGGGUAGAUACUGACGCUGAGGUGCGAAAGCGUGGGGAGCAAACAGG
rnacentral:rRNA from 1 species